GGCAUUUGUGAGAUUGGAACAGUUAGUGAGGCUUUCAUUGGAGGGACCUGCAGAAUUUUCAUGGAUGGAUAAGUUGGAAGCUACUUGGCUGUUGACCUCGGGNNNNNNNNNNNNCUUCAAGAUCAAUGGUAGGUUUCAUAUUGAAGUUGAAUUGUAUAAUGAAGAGCCGCUUUGCAUUCUAAAGUGUUUGAGCAGUAAACAGAUUGAGCCUGUUCGAACUACAAUCCAUGGAAACUAGAUGAUCUUUGCCUGCAAGGCAUCCUCAAGAGCUAACAAGUG
rnacentral:misc_RNA from 1 species